rnacentral:rRNA from 1 species
GACGAACGCUGGCGGCGUGCUUAACACAUGCAAGUCGAACGGUGAAGCGCCUUCCUUUUUGGUGGGUGUGGAUGAGUGGCGAACGGGUGAGUAACACGUGAGUAACCUGCCCCCUUCUUCUGGAUAACCGCAUGAAAGUGUGGCUAAUACGGGAUAUUCUGGGUCUGUCGCAUGAUGGGUCUGGGAAAGAUAUUGUUUCGGUGGGGGAUGGGCUCGCGGCCUAUCAGCUUGUUGGUGGGGUGAUGGGCUACCAAGGCGGGGACGGGUAGCCGGCCUGGGAGGGUGGACGGUCACACUGGGACUGAGACCCGGCCCAGACUCCUACGGGAGGCAGCAGUGGGGAAUAUUGCACAAUGGGCGCAAGCCUGAUGCAGCGACGCCGCGUGAGGGAUGGAGGCCUUCGGGUUGUGAACCUCUUUCGCCAGUGAAGCAGGCCUGCCUCGUUUGUGGGUGGGUUGACGGUAGCUGGAUAAGAAGCGCCGGCUAACUACGUG